rnacentral:tRNA from 1 species
GUCCAGGUAGCCAAAUGGGAAGGCAACGGUGCUGGCACCACCGUGAUAGUGGGUUCGAUCCCCACCCUGGACU